GGGUUGUGAGGUUAAGCGACUAAGCGUACACGGUGGAUGCCCUGGCAGUCAGAGGCGAUGAAGGACGUGCUAAUCUGCGAUAAGCGUCGGUAAGGUGAUAUGAACCGUUAUAACCGGCGAUUUCCGAAUGGGGAAACCCAGUGUGAUUCGUCACACUAUCAUUAACUGAAUCCAUAGGUUAAUGAGGCGAACCGGGGGAACUGAAACAUCUAAGUACCCCGAGGAAAAGAAAUCAACCGAGAUUCCCCCAGUAGCGGCGAGCGAACGGGGAGCAGCCCAGAGCCUGAAUCAGUGUGUGUGUUAGUGGAAGCGUCUGGAAAGGCGCGCGAUACAGGGUGACAGCCCCGUACACAAAAAUGCACAUGCUGUGAGCUCGAUGAGUAGGGCGGGACACGUGGUAUCCUGUCUGAAUAUGGGGGGACCAUCCUCCAAGGCUAAAUACUCCUGACUGACCGAUAGUGAACCAGUACCGUGAGGGAAAGGCGAAAAGAACCCCGGCGAGGGGAGUGAAAAAGAACCUGAAACCGUGUACGUACAAGCAGUGGGAGCACAGAGCAAUCUGUGUGACUGCGUACCUUUUGUAUAAUGGGUCAGCGACUUAUAUUCUGUAGCAAGGUUAACCGAAUAGGGGAGCCGAAGGGAAACCGAGUCUUAACUGGGCGUUAAGUUGCAGGGUAUAGACCCGAAACCCGGUGAUCUAGCCAUGGGCAGGUUGAAGGUUGGGUAACACUAACUGGAGGACCGAACCGACUAAUGUUGAAAAAUUAGCGGAUGACUUGUGGCUGGGGGUGAAAGGCCAAUCAAACCGGGAGAUAGCUGGUUCUCCCCGAAAGCUAUUUAGGUAGCGCCUCGUGAAUUCAUCUCCGGGGGUAGAGCACUGUUUCGGCAAGGGGGUCAUCCCGACUUACCAACCCGAUGCAAACUGCGAAUACCGGAGAAUGUUAUCACGGGAGACACACGGCGGGUGCUAACGUCCGUCGUGAAGAGGGAAACAACCCAGACCGCCAGCUAAGGUCCCAAAGUCAUGGUUAAGUGGGAAACGAUGUGGGAAGGCCCAGACAGCCAGGAUGUUGGCUUAGAAGCAGCCAUCAUUUAAAGAAAGCGUAAUAGCUCACUGGUCGAGUCGGCCUGCGCGGAAGAUGUAACGGGGCUAAACCAUGCACCGAAGCUGCGGCAGCGACGCUUAUGCGUUGUUGGGUAGGGGAGCGUUCUGUAAGCCUGCGAAGGUGUGCUGUGAGGCAUGCUGGAGGUAUCAGAAGUGCGAAUGCUGACAUAAGUAACGAUAAAGCGGGUGAAAAGCCCGCUCGCCGGAAGACCAAGGGUUCCUGUCCAACGUUAAUCGGGGCAGGGUGAGUCGACCCCUAAGGCGAGGCCGAAAGGCGUAGUCGAUGGGAAACAGGUUAAUAUUCCUGUACUUGGUGUUACUGCGAAGGGGGGACGGAGAAGGCUAUGUUGGCCGGGCGACGGUUGUCCCGGUUUAAGCGUGUAGGCUGGUUUUCCAGGCAAAUCCGGAAAAUCAAGGCUGAGGCGUGAUGACGAGGCACUACGGUGCUGAAGCAACAAAUGCCCUGCUUCCAGGAAAAGCCUCUAAGCAUCAGGUAACAUCAAAUCGUACCCCAAACCGACACAGGUGGUCAGGUAGAGAAUACCAAGGCGCUUGAGAGAACUCGGGUGAAGGAACUAGGCAAAAUGGUGCCGUAACUUCGGGAGAAGGCACGCUGAUAUGUAGGUGAAGCGACUUGCUCGUGGAGCUGAAAUCAGUCGAAGAUACCAGCUGGCUGCAACUGUUUAUUAAAAACACAGCACUGUGCAAACACGAAAGUGGACGUAUACGGUGUGACGCCUGCCCGGUGCCGGAAGGUUAAUUGAUGGGGUCAGCGCAAGCGAAGCUCUUGAUCGAAGCCCCGGUAAACGGCGGCCGUAACUAUAACGGUCCUAAGGUAGCGAAAUUCCUUGUCGGGUAAGUUCCGACCUGCACGAAUGGCGUAAUGAUGGCCAGGCUGUCUCCACCCGAGACUCAGUGAAAUUGAACUCGCUGUGAAGAUGCAGUGUACCCGCGGCAAGACGGAAAGACCCCGUGAACCUUUACUAUAGCUUGACACUGAACAUUGAGCCUUGAUGUGUAGGAUAGGUGGGAGGCUUUGAAGUGUGGACGCCAGUCUGCAUGGAGCCGACCUUGAAAUACCACCCUUUAAUGUUUGAUGUUCUAACGUUGACCCGUAAUCCGGGUUGCGGACAGUGUCUGGUGGGUAGUUUGACUGGGGCGGUCUCCUCCUAAAGAGUAACGGAGGAGCACGAAGGUUGGCUAAUCCUGGUCGGACAUCAGGAGGUUAGUGCAAUGGCAUAAGCCAGCUUGACUGCGAGCGUGACGGCGCGAGCAGGUGCGAAAGCAGGUCAUAGUGAUCCGGUGGUUCUGAAUGGAAGGGCCAUCGCUCAACGGAUAAAAGGUACUCCGGGGAUAACAGGCUGAUACCGCCCAAGAGUUCAUAUCGACGGCGGUGUUUGGCACCUCGAUGUCGGCUCAUCACAUCCUGGGGCUGAAGUAGGUCCCAAGGGUAUGGCUGUUCGCCAUUUAAAGUGGUACGCGAGCUGGGUUUAGAACGUCGUGAGACAGUUCGGUCCCUAUCUGCCGUGGGCGCUGGAGAACUGAGGGGGGCUGCUCCUAGUACGAGAGGACCGGAGUGGACGCAUCACUGGUGUUCGGGUUGUCAUGCCAAUGGCACUGCCCGGUAGCUAAAUGCGGAAGAGAUAAGUGCUGAAAGCAUCUAAGCACGAAACUUGCCCCGAGAUGAGUUCUCCCUGACUCCUUGAGAGUCCUGAAGGAACGUUGAAGACGACGACGUUGAUAGGCCGGGUGUGUAAGCGCAGCGAUGCGUUGAGCUAACCGGUACUAAUGAACCGUGAGGCUUAACCUUACAACGCCGAAG
rnacentral:rRNA from 1 species